rnacentral:rRNA from 1 species
AUUGAACGCUGGCGGCAUGCUUUACACAUGCAAGUCGAACGGUAACAGGCCUUCGGGUGCUGACGAGUGGCGAACGGGUGAGUAAUGCAUCGGAACGUACCCAGAGGUGGGGGAUAACGCAGCGAAAGCUGUGCUAAUACCGCAUGUGAUCUGAGGAUGAAAGCGGGGGACCGAGCAGCAAUGUUUGGCCUCGCGCCUUUGGAGCGGCCGAUGUCGGAUUAGCUAGUUGGUGGGGUAAAGGCCUACCAAGGCGACGAUCCGUAGCUGGUCUGAGAGGACGACCAGCCACACUGGGACUGAGACACGGCCCAGACUCCUACGGGAGGCAGCAGUGGGGAAUUUUGGACAAUGGGCGCAAGCCUGAUCCAGCAAUGCCGCGUGCGGGAAGAAGGCCUUCGGGUUGUAAACCGCUUUUGGAAGGAACGAAACGGUGUCCGCUAAUACCGGGCGCUAAUGACGGUACCGGCAGAAUAAGCACCGGCUAACUACGUG